GAUCAUGGCUCAGGACGAACGCUGGCGGCGCGCCUAACACAUGCAAGUCGAACGAGAGAGAGGGAGCUUGCUUCCUCAAUCGAGUGGCGAACGGGUGAGUAACGCGUGAGGAACCUGCCUCAAAGAGGGGGACAACAGUUGGAAACGACUGCUAAUACCGCAUAAGCCCACAGGUCGGCAUCGACCAGAGGGAAAAGGAGCAAUCCGCUUUGAGAUGGCCUCGCGUCCGAUUAG
rnacentral:rRNA from 1 species